rnacentral:rRNA from 1 species
CCUACGGGAGGCAGCAGUGGGGGAAUCUUGCGCAAUGGGCGAAAGCCUGACGCAGCCAUGCCGCGUGAAUGAUGAAGGUCUUAGGAUUGUAAAAUUCUUUCACCGGGGACGAUAAUGACGGUACCCGGAGAAGAAGCCCCGGCUAACUUCGUGCCAGCAGCCGCGGUAAUACGAAGGGGGCUAGCGUUGCUCGGAAUUACUGGGCAUAAAGGGAGCGUAGGCGGAUAGUUUAGUCAGAGGUGAAAGCCCAGGGCUCAACCUUGGAAUUGCCUUUGAUACUGGCUAUCUUGAGUUUGGGAGAGGUGAGUGGAACUCCGAGUGUAGAGGUGAAAUUCGUAGAUAUUCGGAAGAACACCAGUGGCGAAGGCGACUCACUGGCCCAAUACUGACGCUGAGGCUCGAAAGCGUGGGGAGCAAACAGGAUUAGAUACCCUGGUAGUCCACGCCGUAAACGAUGAGUGCUAGUUGUCGGCAUGCAUGCAUGUCGGUGACGCGAGCUACGACAUUAAGACACUCCGCCGUCGGGGAGGUACGGUCGCGAAGAAGUUAAACUACGAAAGAAGUAGACGGCGUGAGACGUAGCCGACGGACGACGACGAGGGAGGUUAGG